AUAAUACGUGUAUGGAAGACGACAUUCAAAACUAUUUACCAACUGUCAUGUUUAGUGGGACACCCUGUAGGUAAUAAACUAAAGUAUAAGGCGAGUACUUAGUUCCCUUAAAUUCAUUCCCCAUCUUUCGUAAUCAAGCUCUUCGCUCAAUUUAUGUUCGCUAUAGCUGGCCAAAUGGCUGAACCAAAUUGGCAGAUUUUUUUAGAAAACUUGUUGUUCCCUAGGAGUGACAAAGGCUAAAAAUAUGGAUCUAAUAAAAUUUCUGUGCAACCCCGGGCAAUGCGAACACCAUGAUUCAAGACCAAGCGCUGGUAAAUGCCGGGAUUAAUAUGAAACCUGCGCAAUUCAGCUAGUUAUUCAUAAUGCAUAAUUCAAUAAUUAGAAUUAAAAAUGUAUUUUGAGCAGAACUAUGAAUAUGCAGGGACUAGGGAGUGGGUUGAAUAAAAGGAUUUGCUUGCAAUCCUAUAUUAAAGAUUAUUAAUCUUAAACUCCCCGAAAUAUGAGAUAUUUGGCUGGUUCGUGGCAAACUCCUGCCAAUAAAGAAAUCAAUUCAUCAACUGCAAUAGAAGGAAAACUAAUUACGUUGGAGACUUCUGUUAAGAAAAUAUUAAUUACUACCAAGAACCCGGGGGUUGGUCAGCAUAUAAAUAAACAGAGGAGAAUAAAUGUGUUCCUUCGAGUAGUAGUUGUAGCUUUGACUGACAGCAUUGUGAAAUGAGACUGGGAGCACUUGAAGUUUGGACCGGGACUUCACUUGAUUUUUUUUUUCUCUAAUUAACAGAAACUCCCGUUGUACACAAGGAACCUGUUGUAGAAAUAUCGCGUAUUUAGCCUUUAAUACAUCUCUGUACUCCCUUUAGAAGAAUGUUAACCACCGUACUUCAUGUGGUAUUUCGUGUACUGUAUGUAAACGUGUAGGCUGAACCAAAUAGAUCGUCAAUCUAUUUGGGCUCAACUUCCUUACAGAGUAAUAAAUCAUUUCACAAGGAAGAUUAACUGCCGUUUUAAAUCAGAAAUACUUACGAGAAAGUCCGAUUUUAACUGGUAGAAACUAGAAAUGUAUAGUGUGCAAUGCCUGAUUCCCAUCAAUACCCUUUAAAAGUGUAAAAGUGAGAAGUAUUCUGCCAGUUUCUUUUCUUGUCGCUUCUUCAUGAAUAACUUUCAAGACAUUUUUAAAUGGAGGUUCACAUGAAAUUAUAUUUUCCCUUCCUUUACAGCUGGAUAAUUACUCAGAUAUUCUAGACAUUUAAAUUCAAUUUACUAGAUCAAAUUUGUAAUCUCCUUUCAGUAUAAAUGUUUAAACUUUUAAUUGUUGCUAUAACUGCUCACAUUUUCUAUUCAUACAUUAUUUUGUGUAAACUGAGGCCGAAUUUAAAGAAUUUAAGCCGCGGCUUGACUUUGAGACGCGGCUCAAAUAUGGUUGGUUCCACUUAAAAUUGUAUAUUAUUUUUCAAGAUGUUUCAAAUUCAUUAAAUUCGUACUCUGUAUACACUUUUGUAUUUGUUCAUUAUUUCCACUUUUAUAUGUAUAAUUGUAAUUUAACUUUCAUAAUAUUUGUGUUUAGAAAUGUACAAAUAUAUUUUUAUAUACUCAA
rnacentral:lncRNA from 1 species